rnacentral:rRNA from 1 species
AGUGAACGCUGGCGGUAGGCCUAACACAUGCAAGUCGAACGGCAGCACAGUAAGAGCUUGCUCUUACGGGUGGCGAGUGGCGGACGGGUGAGGAAUACAUCGGAAUCUACUUUUUCGUGGGGGAUAACGUAGGGAAACUUACGCUAAUACCGCAUACGACCCACGGGUGAAAGCAGGGGAUCUUCGGACCUUGCGCGAUUGAAUGAGCCGAUGUCGGAUUAGCUAGUUGGCGGGGUAAAGGCCCACCAAGGCGACGAUCCGUAGCUGGUCUGAGAGGAUGAUCAGCCACACUGGAACUGAGACACGGUCCAGAUUCCUACGGGAGGCAGCAGGGGGGAAUAUUGGACAAUGGGCGCAAGCCUGAUCCAGCCAUACCGCGUGGGUGAAGAAGGCCUUCGGGUUGUAAAGCCCUUUUGUUGGGAAAGAAAAGCAGCAGGUUAAUACCCCGCUGUUCUGACGGUACCCAAAGAAUAAGCACCGGCUAACUUCGU